rnacentral:misc_RNA from 1 species
UCCGGUUUGGCACCGGCAGUCUCCCUAGAGUUCCCGGCAUGACCCGCUGGCAACUAAGGAUAGGGGUUGCGCUCGUUGCGCCACUUAAGGCAACACCUCACGGCACGAGCUGACGACAGCCAUGCACCACCUGUGCAGGCUCCGUAGAGCACCCGCUUUCACGGGUUUCACCCUGCAUGUCAAGCCCAGGUAAGGUGGGGAUGACGUGUAACCGAAUCU